CAACAGUGCUGUUUAGAUCAGCUUUGUGUCCUCCCGUCCCAAGACUAAUGGCUCAGAAGGAAAGUCGGAGAGGAGGGGUUCUAGCUUUUCACUUACCGAAUGGCAAGGCCAACAAACCUUGUGCUGGAAGCUUCAAAUCCCAUAAUUACAAAGCUGACAGUUAACACACAGGUAAGCUACCCUUACUGACUGGCAAAGAAUGCAAACAUCUUCUCCAUGCGGCUGAGAGACGGGGGAGAUGGAGGUUAUGGUGCAGGUGCAGGAGUUGCCCCUCCACAUCUCCUGGGGUUGUGGGGGCAUACAGAUCCAUGACAGAUCGGUCUAACCUACACACAACAGAGAGAUGGAGUUGUUAUAAUACCCUUAAAGAGUCCAUGAUGCCAUGUAUCCGAACAAGAUGUACAAGACCUCUGGCAGAAAAACAGCCCCACAACAUUCAAGAUGCAGCACCACAUUUAACCGUAG